GACGAACGCUGGCGGCGUGCCUAAUACAUGCAAGUAGAACGCUGAAGCUUGGUGCUUGCACCGAGCGGAUGAGUUGCGAACGGGUGAGUAACGCGUAGGUAACCUGCCUGGUAGCGGGGGAUAACUAUUGGAAACGAUAGCUAAUACCGCAUAAGAGUAGAUGUUGCAUGACAUUUGCUUAAAAGGUGCAAUUGCAUCACUACCAGAUGGACCUGCGUUGUAUUAGCUAGUUGGUGAGGUAAUGGCUCACCAAGGCGACGAUACAUAGCCGACCUGAGAGGGUGAUCGGCCACACUGGGACUGAGACACGGCCCAGACUCCUACGGGAGGCAGCAGUAGGGAAUCUUCGGCAAUGGACGGAAGUCUGACCGAGCAACGCCGCGUGAGUGAAGAAGGUUUUCGGAUCGUAAAGCUCUGUUGUAAGAGAAGAACGAGUGUGAGAGUGGAAAGUUUCACCACUGUGACGGUUUCUACC
rnacentral:rRNA from 1 species